GAGGGACAGAAUUUAUACUUUCCUACUGGUGAAUAUUUCAUAUACCUGAAAUCUUUAAAAGAUACUAGAAAACACCCGUGAUAUCGCGGGUCUGUGAAUGAAUUAAAGUAUAUAACUAUGCGCAAGCCUUAUUUUAGUAUUAGUAUUCAAGUUGUCAUCUGAAUGAAGUUGAAUUCUUUGAUUCGCUGUUUUAUGUCAUGCAUGCCCACAAACAAAUUGAAAACUGUACCUAUACGCCUUAUUUUUAGUCCAGAUUUGUUAUCUUUGAAAGUCUUACUGAUUAAAAUACUACAAUAGGUAACAAUUUGACAAUUUAGUAGUGUCAACCCUGUGAUUAUGACCGUGUAUAUAGCAUAUUAAUCCUGAAUACACCGUUUGGUGGUGAGCCUGUCAGAUGCGGAACAUACAGAUAAGGUAAUAGGUAACAGGUGAAUAUACUAUUGGUAUCUGUAUCGGACUCGAACCGGAACUUCUUAAUUAUUGGCAAUAUUAAUUACGUCAAAAACAAAAGGGCCUGGAGAGUGGUGUAAUUUUUAAUCUACACUUUUGUACUAUAUUAGUUAAAUAUAAAGUUGAAUUAUUUGAUUCGUCGUUUUUACGUGAUGACGGCUGACAAAUUGGACCUCGUAAUUUUAGUAUUAUAGAUUUUACAUGCCCAUAUGCAAUAUUGAGCAAAAAUAAUAGUACUGUUGUUCACAUAGACAAGGGUCUGGAUGGGGUCUUCUGCAUUUCUUUAUCAUUUAAUCUUUUAGUUCAUUGGUCUCUAUUUUUUUUAUACUUUUUGUCCAUAAUUUUUCUUUCCUCAAUAUAUAAAUUAGCACAUCAAAAGUUCAAAAUGAUUAUGACCAGACCUCUGGCUUGCUGCUAGGAAUAUUUUUUGAUUUUUUUCUGGGAUGCAUAGGAAGGUGUCCCAGAAAAAAAGUAGUCUAUGGUCCGCAAAUAGUCAAAAAAUAACAUAAGGACCUAAGAGCUACGGUUCUGCAGCUAGCAUGUCAUUUGCUCUUUUUUUUUACUUAUUUUAUGGUAAAUUUUCUCUAUUCUUGUUCCUUUAGUAACAAUUCUCUAAUUCUUUAUACGUUUUAAUAGUCAUAGUUCCCAGUGGCAGAUCCAGGGAUAGGGUUCCAGGGAUUGGAAUCUCCCUU
rnacentral:lncRNA from 1 species